AACGCACAUGGCGCCCCCUGGCAUCCCGGGGGGCAUGCCUGUCCGAGCGUCGUUUCAACCCUCGAGCCCACGUGGCCCGGCGUUGGGGAUCUGCCGCCAAGGCAGGCCCCGAAAACCAGUGGCGGUCCCUGCGGGCCCUCUCCUUUGCGUAGUAGCAUCAGCCUCGCAUCGGGAGCCCCAGGGCGCCUGCCUCUAAACCCCCCACCAAGCCCGCCCAGGCGGCACCAGGUUGACCUCGGAUCAGGUAGGACUACCCGCUGAACUUAA
rnacentral:misc_RNA from 1 species